ensembl:snRNA U6 U6 spliceosomal RNA
GCACUAGCUUUGGUAGCACACAUACUAAAACUGGAACAACACAGACAUGAUCAACACAGCCCCUGAGCAAGGAUGACAUGAGGCACUGAAUAUUUUU